GAUGAACGCUGGCGGCGUGCCUAAUACAUGCAAGUCGAGCGAAGCGGGGACGGGUGAGUAACACGUGGAAAACCUCCUUUAAGACUGGGUUAACUUCGGGAAACAGGUGCUAAACCGGCUACUUAUAGAUGGCUCCGCGGUGCAUUAGCUAGUUGGUAAGGUAACGGCUCACCAAGGCCACGCUGCAUAGCCGACCUGAGAGGGUGAUCGGCCACACUGGAACUGAGACACGGCCCAGACUCCUACGGGAGGCAGCAGUAGGGAAUCUUCCGCAAUGGGCGAAAGCCUGACGGAGCAACGCCGCGUGAGUGAAGAAGGUCUUCGGAUCGUAAAACUCUGUUAUUAGGGAAGCGGUACCUAAUCAGAAAGCCACGGCUAACUACGUGCCAGCAGCCGCGGUAAUUC
rnacentral:rRNA from 1 species